GGAAAAGUGAGUACCGGCUAGUAUCGCGAGAUCAGGAAGGUGGCCGAGUGUGUCGCCGCGGCCAUCAGGCACUUCUCCUUCCUGCCCUUGUAUGAAGAAGGAUGUGUUUGCUUCCCCUUGUGCCAUGAUUGUAAAUUUCCUGAGGCCUCCUCAGCCCUGCAGAACUGGCUAGAGCAAUGUAUCUUAGGCUCACUUAAGGAAGCUGUAGAGAUGAGCCCAAGGAGGGAAACCAGAAGAGCCCCCCAGGCUCACCAGUUGUUUGUUGGCUCCCUACAAACAUGUCAUUCAAGUGGCUAAUCUUACAACAGCACAAAUUCAUCUAACCAGAAAGAGAAGAGGAGGCUCCAAAGGCACUUGACUACUGAGCAUCACCCUGGACGUGUACAAGUCUGCGUCCUUAUUGUUUUCUUCAUUGGGCCGAACUUUCUGGUCCUCAUCCAACAGCUCUUCUAUCACGUGUUCGAAAGUGUCAGCCAAUGAUGUCAAGCCUCUUGAACCUGCCUUGGGCCCAUUCACGCUCUCCAGAGUCCCAUGGGUCCGCACACCUGGAGAUACUCUAUUAUAGCAAAGAAGAAAGAUAAUUUCAUUGAGCCAUCCUGUUUUACAGACACAUUAUCAGCCAACAUGUCGGUGCUGGAUGUAUUUUCCCAAUGUUGCAUAAGAGGAAUACCUUCGAGAGUUUGGCCUAGGAAUGUGGCCUGGGACUCCGCCAAGCAUCUCUCUCCAGCAAAAUGACUGCAAAUUUCUCGACCUUCAGAUUCUACAUGAUGUAAAAGAAGUUUGUCUGUGUUUAAAAACACAUUCAAGAAAUAAGUGAACAUGUGAAAAGACAGAAAAACUUGUUUUAAUUUGGGCAUAGUUUCAGUUUUCAAAGGCACAUGAAGGCAGAAAGAAAGAAUCACAAAAUGGAACUACUGAUGAUAGCAACUCCAAAACCAAGACUGAUUAGACUAAAUCCCAUGUGGCAAAAAUUUUAUUUAGUAAGUUUCCUUCUCCCUCUCUCCCUUUAGAUAUAUGUGCAUACACACACACGCACCUUUAUUUUAGUA
rnacentral:lncRNA from 1 species